CCUACGGGUGACAGCAGUGAGGAAUAUUGGUCAAUGGGCGCGAGCCUGAACCAGCCAAGUAGCGUGAAGGAUGACUGCCCUACGGGUUGUAAACUUCUUUUAUAAAGGAAUAAAGUGAGGCACGUGUGCCUUUUUGUAUGUACUUUAUGAAUAAGGAUCGGCUAACUACGUGCCAGCAGCCGCGGUAAUACGUAGGAGGCAAGCGUUAUCCGGAAUGACUGGGCGUAAAGGGUGCGUAGGUGGUUCAGCAAGUUAGUAGCGUAACUCCGGGGCUCAACCUCGGCACUACUACUAAAACUGGUGGACUUGAGGGCAGGAGGGGCAACUGGAAUUCCUAGUGUAGCGGUGGAAUGCGUAGAUAUUAGGAGGAACACCAGUGGAGAAGGCGAGUUGCUGGACUGUAACUGACACUGAGGCACGAAAGCGUGGGGAGCAAACAGGAUUAGAUACCCGGGUAGUC
rnacentral:rRNA from 1 species